CUGUAAGCCUGUGAAGGUGGCCUGUGAGGGUUGCUGGAGGUAUCAGAAGUGCGAAUGCUGACAUAAGUAACGAUAAAGCGGGUGAAAAGCCCGCUCGCCGGAAGACCAAGGGUUCCUGUCCAACGUUAAUCGGGGCAGGGUGAGUCGACCCCUAAGGCGAGGCCGAAAGGCGUAGUCGAUGGGAAACGGGUUAAUAUUCCCGUACUUGGUGUUACUGCGAAGGGGGGACGGAGAAGGCUAUGUUGGCCGGGCGACGGUUGUCCCGGUUUAAGCGUGUAGGUGUGUGUUCCAGGUAAAUCCGGUUCACUUUAACACUGAGGCGUGACGACGAGGCACUACGGUGCUGAAGCAACAAAUGCCCUGCUUCCAGGAAAAGCCUCUAAGCAUCAGGUAACAUCAAAUCGUACCCCAAACCGACACAGGUGGUCAGGUAGAGAAUACCAAGGCGCUUGAGAGAACUCGGGUGAAGGAACUAGGCAAAAUGGUGCCGUAACUUCGGGAGAAGGCACGCUGACACGUAGGUGAAGUGAUUUACUCACGGAGCUGAAGUCAGUCGAAGAUACCAGCUGGCUGCAACUGUUUAUUAAAAACACAGCACUGUGCAAACACGAAAGUGGACGUAUACGGUGUGACGCCUGCCCGGUGCCGGAAGGUUAAUUGAUGGGGUCAGCGCAAGCGAAGCUCCUGAUCGAAGCCCCGGUAAACGGCGGCCGUAACUAUAACGGUCCUAAGGUAGCGAAAUUCCUUGUCGGGUAAGUUCCGACCUGCACGAAUGGCGUAAUGAUGGCCAGGCUGUCUCCACCCGAGACUCAGUGAAAUUGAACUCGCUGUGAAGAUGCAGUGUACCCGCGGCAAGACGGAAAGACCCCGUGAACCUUUACUAUAGCUUGACACUGAACAUUGAGCCUUGAUGUGUAGGAUAGGUGGGAGGCUUUGAAGCGUGGACGCCAGUCUGCGUGGAGCCGACCUUGAAAUACCACCCUUUAAUGUUUGAUGUUCUAACGUGGACCCGUGAUCCGGGUUGCGGACAGUGUCUGGUGGGUAGUUUGACUGGGGCGGUCUCCUCCUAAAGAGUAACGGAGGAGCACGAAGGUUGGCUAAUCCUGGUCGGACAUCAGGAGGUUAGUGCAAUGGCAUAAGCCAGCUUGACUGCGAGCGUGACGGCGCGAGCAGGUGCGAAAGCAGGUCAUAGUGAUCCGGUGGUUCUGAAUGGAAGGGCCAUCGCUCAACGGAUAAAAGGUACUCCGGGGAUAACAGGCUGAUACCGCCCAAGAGUUCAUAUCGACGGCGGUGUUUGGCACCUCGAUGUCGGCUCAUCACAUCCUGGGGCUGAAGUAGGUCCCAAGGGUAUGGCUGUUCGCCAUUUAAAGUGGUACGCGAGCUGGGUUUAGAACGUCGUGAGACAGUUCGGUCCCUAUCUGCCGUGGGCGCUGGAGAACUGAGGGGGGCUGCUCCUAGUACGAGAGGACCGGAGUGGACGCAUCACUGGUGUUCGGGUUGUCAUGCCAAUGGCACUGCCCGGUAGCUAAAUGCGGAAGAGAUAAGUGCUGAAAGCAUCUAAGCACGAAACUUGCCCCGAGAUGAGUUCUCCCUGAGACUUAAAGUCUCCUGAAGGAACGUUGAAGACGACGACGUUGAUAGGCCGGGUGUGUAAGCGCAGCGAUGCGUUGAGCUAACCGGUACUAAUGAACCGUGAGGCUUAACCUUAC
rnacentral:rRNA from 2 species